GACAGAGGGUGCAAACGUUGUUCGGAAUUACUGGGCGUAAAGCGAGUGUAGGCGGUUUGGUAAGUCGGAUGUGAAAGCCCCGGGCUCAACCCGGGAAGUGCACUCGAUACUGCCAAGCUAGAGUAUCGGAGAGGUUGGUGGAAUUCUCGGUGUAGAGGUGAAAUUCGUAGAUAUCGAGAGGAACACCGGUGGCGAAGGCGGCGACCUGGUCCUUGACUGACGCUGAGGCGCGAAAGCGUGGGGAGCAAACAGG
rnacentral:rRNA from 1 species